GAUGGUAAUUAAUGAUAAGAUUUGGGGAAUUUAAUAACAUUUUGAAGAUAUUUCAAACGACAACGUCAAUUAAAAAUAAGUAGGUAAUAAACAGAAGUGAAAAAAAGUGACAAAAUGGCUAAUAAUCUUCAGAGCAAUUUUUCCGGAAGAUGUGCAACCUUCAAAAACCCGAAAAACUGGUUUUUAUGGGUUUUUGGGAAUUAUCCCCAUUUUAGACUUUGAAGUAAAUUGAAGUAACCGAGUCCUUUAGGAUAUUCCAAAAUUGGUCGAAAGAUCUUUAAACCCCCCAAAAACAUGUUGUUCAUGGUUUUUAAGAAUUUUUCCUAGUUUUUGUGGGGUUAAUAAUAUUUUUUGAGAUCGAUACAACCUGAAUCAAUGCGUUUCCAAUUCAUAUUAAAAAAAAAGAAUGUGUGUACUUUGUAAGCACGUAAGAAGUUAUACUUCUAUUAUAUGAUUUCAAAGAAAUAAAUAUACUUUCCAACAGUUUA